rnacentral:rRNA from 1 species
UACGUAGGGGGGCAAGCGUUGUCCGGAAUCAUUGGGCGUAAAGCGCGUGUAGGCGGCUCGAUAAGUCUGCUGUGAAAGUUCAGGGCUCAACCCUGAAAUGCCGGUGGAAACUGUCGGGCUAGAGUCCGGAAGAGGCGAGUGGAAUUCCUGGUGUAGCGGUGAAAUGCGCAGAUAUCAGGAGGAACACCAAUGGCGAAGGCAGCUCGCUGGGACGGUACUGACGCUGAGACGCGAAAACGUGGGGGAGCAAAACAGG